rfam:Brassica napus, WGS project CCCW01000000 data, contig: 16682
GGAAUAUAAGAACUCGUCUCUUAACUUUUAACUAAAAAAGCUAAGACCAGCUCUUAAAUAAGAUAUUUAAGACCUGGUUCUUAGAUUUUUUAGUUAAAAGUUAAGAGACGGAUUCUUAUAUUCC